GUAAACAUUAUGCUUUUUCUUUUUAAAUGAGGGUGAGGAAAACUUGUUUGACUUACUGCUUAACACACAUGAUGAAUUCCUCAUGGUAAAAGUGAAUUUGAUCCACGAGGGAGCAAAGUGGAUAUAGAGACAAGACAGUCAGAUUAAUGGACAGAUCAGAACAGAUCUCGGAGGAGAGUGGAGCUGCAGCUCUGUGUCAGAGUCUGCCCAGCUUCUUCAACCUCCAUGUCCUCUGUUGUCUGCAUAGUCUGUCCAGCCUCUUCAACCUCCAUGGGCUCUGUUGCAAGGGUGGAGGUCUGGGGAGCAGCAGCAUCAAGACGCUGUUUUUUGUUUUGAGGCUCAUCUGAGGCUCUUUCGUUUGGGUUCCUGCAUCUCUGCAGGAGAAAAAAAAUACAGGUCAAGGAUUUGAUCCAUUUGCUUCAGUAACAUGAAUACAACACGAAUUUUGAGAACAUGAGAGAUUUCUGUUGAUGUUGUCUAAUAAACUGAUGUUUUCCAGACAGCUGCUGUGAUGUUCACCUUCUGGCUUCUGUUGGAUGAUGUCCCAAAAGGGUGAUAGUGAAUAGGCUGUGAUAGAUUGUGAGACAUCUGUAAAAAUAAAAAUAAGAUGAGGAUGAAACUCCAAUUAGUUCAAUGAAUUCAUUAAAAAUUGGGGUUAUGAAAAAACAAAACUCCGCAGACAUUGAACAGAUUGACCGACAUCAUUUACUGGCUUGUAUGAAGUCAUUUUUUAAAAAGUAGAAUUCUAAAAUAAAACGAAGGUCUUUAUCUUUGGUGAAGGAGUGUCCUGGGGAAUGAAUGAAACACUUUCAUCAUAACAAUAAUAGCUUUUGUAAACAUGGUGCUACAUCAUUUUACAUAAUAGUUCUUUUAGGGCUGUGAAAGUUGAUGCAUUAACGAACGUGAUCAAUAAAACAUAAUUAAUUUGUUAAUACUCAUUGAUGCUUUCAGGUGUCAAUCAACGUACUAAAACUUUGUCUACAAUAGACUUAUACUUUUUUUACAUCCUGUGAUUGAGAUUUUAUUAAAGAGAUAAUAUGGCAUUUAUUUGUAACAAAAUCAAUUUUUUCUUAAUAAAUUAGGCAGAGAAUGAAAGUCCAUCUGAUGGCUGUAAUGCAGCAGUGCAUCUGCUAUGGGGAGUGUGGGCAGAACAGAGCUGGAAACAGAGGAAACAGACCCUUUUUUUAUUUUAGGAUGGGGACCUACGUUUAUUUUCCACUAUAUCAAGCAUUGGUGUCUAAAAAUUGAGGAAACUCGGCAGCUCUCCGCGAAAGUCCUGCCCAUCAACAUCUUGUGGGGGUGAGUAGUUCAGAGAAGACAGACCUGAAAUCCAGCUGGAUCAAACUUCUCCCAAAAAAGUUUUUAGUAUUUUUCAUAAGCAUAAUAAAGAAAGUUUAUGAGAAAAAAAUAAAAAGCUAAAACAGAAAGAAAAAAAAGAGGAAAGAAAUCAAAUGGACAGAAGUGAGAAAUUUGUUUUUUUUGGGCUGCCUGGAAGCUGCAGCCUCACAGCCAGAAUAAAGUAGAUCAGAAAGAUCUCAUCAUGGAGCUGUGAGGUCUGAGAUCUUCCUCUAUCAACAGAAAAGUUCAUUAAUGUGGCCUAAAGGAAUCUGUGACUUUAACCUGGAUUUUUUUCAAAUUUUAAUUUAAAAACAUGUUGAUUAGCUUGUUGACAAA